UACGGCCUCAUCACGGCGAAGUACAGGUUCCCAGACGAUCACCAAAGUUAAGCAAUGUCGAGCCUGGUCAGUACCUAGAUGGGUCACCGCUUGGGAAUACCAUGUGUUGUAAG